GACGAACGCUGGCGGCGUGCUUAACACAUGCAAGUCGAACGGAAAGGCCCUGCUUUUGUGGGGUGCUCGAGUGGCGAACGGGUGAGUAACACGUGAGUAACCUGCCCUUGACUUUGGGAUAACUUCAGGAAACUGGGGCUAAUACCGGAUAGGAGCUCCUGCUGCAUGGUGGGGGUUGGAAAGUUUCGGCGGUUGGGGAUGGACUCGCGGCUUACCAGCUUGUUGGUGGGGUAGUGGCUUACCAAGGCUUUGACGGGUAGCCGGCCUGAGAGGGUGACCGGCCAAAUUGGGAAUGAGAUACGGCCCAGACUCCUACGGGAGGCAGCAGUGGGGAAUAGUGAACAAUGGGCGGAAGCCUGAUGCAGCAACGCCGCGUGCGGGAUGACGGCCUUCGGGUUGUAAACCGCUUUCGCCUGUGACGAAGCGUGAGUGACGGUAAUGGGUAAAGAAGAACCGGCUAACUACGUG
rnacentral:rRNA from 1 species